rnacentral:rRNA from 1 species
UACAGAGGUCUCAAGCGUUGUUCGGAUUCAUUGGGCGUAAAGGGCGCGUAGGCUGCGGGGCAAGUCGGGUGUGAAAUCUCAGAGCUCAACUCUGAAACUGCACUCGAUACUGCUUUGCUUGAGGACUGGAGAGGAGAUUGGAAUUCACGGUGUAGCAGUGAAAUGCGUAGAUAUCAUGAGGAAGACCAGUGGCGAAGGCGGAUCUCUGGACAGUUCCUGACGCUGAGGCGCGAAGGCCAGGGGAGCAAACGGG